GCCUCCUUAAUUCAGUUGGUAGAAUAUUUGCAUGGUAAGCAAAAAGUCGCCGGUUCAAAUCCGGCAGGAGGCU
rnacentral:tRNA from 1 species